rnacentral:rRNA from 1 species
CAAUAGCGUAUAUUAAAGUUGUUGCAGUUAAAAAGCUCGUAGUUGAAUUUCUGGCGGGCGCGCCGGUCUUCCAAGUGUUGUACUGGGCGCAGUCCGCCAUCCUUGUGGAGAGGGCUCGCAUUGAGUUGCGUGUCGGAUCUGCAUCAUUUACUGUGAAAAAAUUAGAGUGUUUAAAGCAGGCUGUCGCUUGAAUACAUUAGCAUGGAAUAAUAAGAUAGGACUUCGGUCUAUUUUGUUGGUUGCGAACCGAGGUAAUGAUUAAUAGGGAUAGUUGGGGGUAUUCAUAUUUAAUUGUCAGAGGUGAAAUUCUUGGAUUUAUGAAAGAUGAACAACUGCGAAANCANNNACCAAGGAUGUUUNCAUNAA